GGGGGGGAUCCCAAGUGCCAUUCUUAACGGGAUGGCUUUUCAUUAGUGUAAAGAGCUUUUGGAAUAAGGGCUGGGCAAGACCGGUGCCAGCCGCCGCGGUAACACCGGCAGCUCUAGUGGUAGCAGUUUUUAUUGGGCCUAAAGCGUCCGUAGCCGGUUUAAUAAGUCUCUGGUGAAAUCCUGUAGCUUAACUGUGGGAAUUGCUGGAGAUACUAUUAGACUUGAGACCGGGAGAGGUUAGAGGUACUCCCAGGGUAGAGGUGAAAUUCUGUAAUCCUGGGAGGACCGCCUGUUGCGAAGGCGUCUAACUGGAACGGUUCUGACGGUGAGGGACGAAAGUUAGGGGCGCGAACCGGAUUAGAUACCCGGGUAGUCCUAACCGUAAACGAUGCGGACUUGGUGUUGGGGUGGCUUUGAGCUGCUCCAGUGCCGAAGGGAAGCUGUUAAGUCCGCCGCCUGGGAAGUACGGUCGCAAGACUGAAACUUAA
rnacentral:rRNA from 1 species